rnacentral:snoRNA from 1 species
UCCCAUUGUUAAGUCAAGGCUCCUUCUCGCCUUCAGUGCACUAUACACCAUGAGAGGAAUCUGUUACAACUUUGGGAGAACAAACGCAGAUCCGCCGGUUCUCUUUCGAGGAUCAAGACGAGCUUCGUUUUGAAGUUUUGUCGACCAGGAUCUUGCUAGUGUUUCGUUUGAGUUGAGAUAGGCCUCCUUCUGUGAAGACAUUUGUGGCCAUUCUCUUAGUAACGUCUCACACAUCU